UACGUAGGUGACAAGCGUUGUCCGGAUUUACUGGGCGUAAAGAGCGCGCAGGCGGUCGAUCAAGUCGAGUGUGAAAGCCCCCGGCUCAACUGGGGAGGGUCAUUCGAUACUGAUCGACUCGAAGGCAGGAGAGGGUAGUGGAAUUCCCGGUGUAGUGGUGAAAUGCGUAGAUAUCGGGAGGACCACCAGUGGCGAAGGCGACUACCUGGCCUGUUCUUGACGCUGAGGCGCGAAAGCUAGGGGAGCAAACGGG
rnacentral:rRNA from 1 species